AUAUGGUCAAGUAAAUAAGAGUCCAUGGGGAAUGCCUUGGAGCUAUCCGGCGAUGAAGGACGCGGUAAGCAGCGAAAUGCGUAGGGGAGAUGCAAUCAAUCUAUGAUCCUGCGAUGUCCGAAUGGGGUAACCCACUAAGGUGAAGCCUUAGUAUCGCACCUUGAAUAAAAUAGGGGUGUAGAAGCCAGACGUAGGGAAGUGAAUCAUCUAAGUACCUACAGGAAAAGAAAUCAAACGAGAUUCCCUUAGUAGCGGCGAGCGAAAGGGGAGGAGUCUAAACCAGAUAAGAGUGUAACUUUACGGUGUUUCUUAUUUGGGGUUGCAAGAGUACAUGCGAGAGGGCGUAAAACCUCUUGGGUGAGUAAGAAAACUUAGUUAUAGCCGAACGGUUUGGGAAGGCCGGUCGAAGAGGGUGAAAGCCCCGUAGGCGAAAUGAUUAAGACUCACUGGUGUAUUUCUUAAGUACGGCGAGACACGAGAAACCUUGUCGGAAUCUGCGGGGACCACCCUGCAAGACUAAAUACGAGAUAGCUACCGAUAGUGAACGAGUACUGUGAAGGAAGCGGUGAAAAGCACCCCGGGAGGGGAGUGAAAGAGAACCUGAAACCAUGGACUUACAAGCGGUCAAAGCCUCUAAAGGGGGUGAUGGCGUGCCUUUUGUAGAAUGAGCCUGCGAGUUAUCAUAUGAAGCGAGGUUAAGCAAUAGAAGUUGCGGAGCCGGAGGGAAACCGAGUCUGAAUAGGGCGUCUUGAGUUUCAUGUGGUAGACCCGAAUCCGAGUGAUCUAUUUAUGGUCAGGCUGAAGCUUGGGUAAGACCAAGUGGAGGGCCGAACACUAGUCCGCUGAAAAGGGCAGUGAUGAACUGUGAAUAGGGGUGAAAGGCUAAUCAAACUCGGAGAUAGCUGGUUCUCCUCGAAAUGUAUUUAGGUACAGCCUCAAUUGUUUAGUUAGCGGGGUAAAGCACUGAUUAGGCUAGGGCCCGUCACUGGGUACCAAACUUAGUUAAACUAAGAAUACGCUAACUCAAAAGAUUGGGAGUGAGACUGCGGGCGAUAAGGUUCGUGGUCGAAAGGGAAAAAGCCCAGACCGUCGAUUAAGGUCCCAAAAUUAUGCUAAGUGGAGAAGGAAGUGCCACGGCAAAGACAGCUAGGAGGUUGGCUUAGAAGCAGCCAUUCCUUAAAAGAGUGCGUAAUAGCUCACUAGUCGAGUCGUGGUGCGCCCAAAAUGUAACGGGGCUAAGCAUAAUACCGAAAUCACGGAUUGCACACAUUAGUGUGUGAUGGUAGAGGAGCAUUCCCUAGGGCGAUGAAGGUAACUUGAGAAGGUUGCUGGAGCUAUGGGAAGAGAGAAUGCAGGCAUGAGUAACGAAAAGGAAGGUGAGAGUCCUUCCCGCCGAAAAUGUAAGGUUUCCAGGGUAAAGGUUGUCUUCCCUGGGUGAGUCGACCCCUAAGGCGAGGCUGAAAAGCGUAGUCGAUGGGAAGCAGGUUAAUAUUCCUGCACUUCUGAUAGUUUCGAAGGAAUGACGCAGAAAGAGAAUAUCCGCCACUUAUUGGAUUGUGGUCUAAGCAUUAAGCUGAUUGAAAGAGUACAGGUAAAUCCGUACUUUUAGGUAAGAUGUGAAGGAGAAGGCUGUAAGAAGCUGGGAGGGAUAGGAUUUAUGCUGCCAAGAAAUAAUUUCUAAGGUUAGGCUAUUGGGAAUCGUACCGUAAACCGACACAGGUACAUGAGAAGAGUAUUCUAAGGCGUACGAGAGAACUAGAGUUAAGGAACUCGGCAAAAUACAUACGUAACUUCGGGAUAAGUAUGACCACUGAGAAGUGGUGGCACAAGAGAGGUUCGGGCGACUGUUUACCAAAAACACAGGUCUCUGCUAACUCGCAAGAGGAGGUAUAGGGGCUGACGCCUGCCCGGUGCUGGAAGGUUAAGAGGAUUGGUUAGCGGGUAACUGCGAAGCUGAGAAUUGAAGCCCCAGUAAACGGCGGCCGUAACUAUGACGGUCCUAAGGUAGCGAAAUUCCUCGUCGGGUAAUUUCCGACCCGCACGAAUGGCGUAACGAUCCGGACACUGUCUCAACUCUAGACUCGGUGAAAUUGAAGUAUCGGUGAAGAUGCCGAUUACCCACAGUUAGACGAAAAGACCCCGUGAACCUUUACUGUAACCUGAUAUUGAGAUUUGGGCAAUCAUGCGUAGGAUAGGUGGGAGACUAUGAAGCUUGGGCUUUGGCUUGAGUGGAGUCGUUGGUGAAAUACCACCCUUGAUUGUUUAGAUUUCUAACUGGUGCCAUAGAACUGGUACUAGGACAUUGUCAGGCGGGCAGUUUGGCUGGGGCGGUCGCCUCCUAAAGAGUAACGGAGGCGCGCGAAGGUUACCUUAUCUUGGUUGGAAAUCAAGAGGAAAGUGCAAAGGCAGAAGGUAGCUUGACUGCAAGACGCAACAGGUCGAGCAGGUACGAAAGUAGGUCUUAGUGAUCCGGCGGUCGCGAGUGGAAGCGCCGUCGCUUAACGGAUAAAAGGUACUCCGGGGAUAACAGGCUGAUUUCACCCAAGCGUCCAUAGCGACGGUGAAGUUUGGCACCUCGAUGUCGGCUCAUCGCAUCCUGGGGCUGUAGCAGGUCCCAAGGGUAUGGCUGUUCGCCAUUUAAAGCGGUACGUGAGCUGGGUUCAGAACGUCGCGAGACAGUUCGGUCUCUAUCUGCUGUGGGCGUUGGAAUUUUGAGGAGAUCUGCAUUUAGUACGAGAGGACCGAUGUGGACUAACCUCUGGCGUACCAGUUGUUCCGCCAGGAGCAAUCGCUGGGUAACUAUGUUAGGAACGGAUAACCGCUGAAAGCAUCUAAGUGGGAAGCCGGCUUCAAGAUGAGAAUUCCCUGAGGUUUUAUGCCUCCUAAAGAACCCGUAAAGAACAUGCGGUUGAUAGGUUGCAGACGUAAGCAUAGCAAUAUGUUCAAUCGAGCAAUACUAAUGAGUCGUGAGGCUUGACCAUAUUAC
rnacentral:rRNA from 2 species